GUCCACGCCGGAGCCUUUCAACUGCCUCUCCUGUCUUGCUUUGCAGGAUGUCUCUUUGCUUGGCUUCAAGCUUGGUCUUUCCUUCUGCCUAGCAUCUUGUUUUCCGCUGAGUGGGAUUUCUUCUUUCCCUAACAUUCUGCUUCUCGUCAGGGCUCAGCCUUGGCCUUAUUUCUUGUCUCUGUGGUGAAAGGAAUGAGAACAAGAGAUCCAAUCAUGAAAAAUCCAUCCACUGAACAGGGCUUAGGUGCUGGCGAAAUGUCAGACGCUGGACGUGGAGAGGGCCGGUUAGCCACAGCAGCUGCCACAGCGGGACGCCCAGGGACUUUGGCGCUGCCUCUGCCUACCCAAGCAUCUGCUGGUCUAAAUCUUGAGGAAACCAUAACAUUGUGCUGCCGACCCUGUGCCUUCUCCAUCAGCCUCUUACUGAGGUUUGGAAGCCACAAUAAAAUGCAAAUCGGUGGAAGCUUGAAAUUCCCAGUGUUGCCACAAAUGGAGGAUUGCGGUGAUUGUUGAACACAAGUUGAAGAACUCAACUCUAUUGCAAAUAAAAAGACAUCAGCCACAGUGAACCCAGAUAGGGUUCACUUGGUUCACAACCAAGGAUGACAAAUCUGCCAGAGUGGGCACUGUGCCCUGGCCAGGCCCAGGCCAUACGAGGUCUGCAGGAUGAGAAGGGCCCAGCCGUGAGAAUCCCAGGAGAGGACACAGAAGGCAAGCCCGAUGCCACAGAUCCCGGCCAAACAGAGCGUCGCUUCCGUCA
rnacentral:lncRNA from 1 species